GUGGAGCUAUUUUCUUUGCUCUCCCUGUCGUGCGUCUUUUAUACAAUGCAACAGGUAAAAAUCAAUUCAAUAAUAUGAUAUAAUCAUUUAAUAGCUUUGGAUACUGAAAAUAGAUAUUUAUUCAGUAUUAGUAUUUGUCACAAGCAAUGUUCUAAGGACAGAAUAACUUCAGAAUCAUCUAGUUUCAUCAAGGGCCAUAUAUUUUAUCUAAUCAAGUAUCAACGUAGGAUUUGCAAAACGCAAUUUUAUCAAGAACAUAAAAUGUUUAGUGUCCCUACCCCAUAAUACCAAGUUCUACUGCAGCUUUGUAUUGAAUAGGUAUCUCCAUGAGAGCGGCAAGAGCAAAAGCUGUUUCUUUCUCAGAUGGAGUUGCAUUUUUUGACAUAAUGGCGGUAAAAUUAACAAACUGCAACAAGAAGUAGAAUAUACAUUCUAAACUCUAUUAUAAAUCCAUUGAAAUUCAAACUUAGCUGUAUGCUGCCAAUGAUAUACCUGAAAAUUAUCAAAUUCACGUGCAGGGAUCUUGUCAUCAAAUUUCUGCAUGUCUUCCCAAGGUCCAUCACCGACUCCAACAAGCACAAUGGAAAGUGGAUAUGAACUGCUUACAUAAAUGAAACAAGAUAUGAACAACGGUUAAGAGAAUAAGUCCAUGGAGACUGCUAAUAAAAGUAGACAUAGUCUGUUAUUUCUUCAGAAGAUGGAAGCUUAAAGCAAGAAGCAAAAGUCAGGUAAUUCAAAACUCUACCUUGCAGCAACAAUUGACUUUAUUGUUUUCUGUUCUUGUGAACUCAGUUCUCCAUCACCUGUAUUGACACUCCUUGUAACCUUCACAGUAAAAGAAAUAAGUACAUUGAUAAAAAAGGUAGUGUUUGGGAGAAGAGAGAGCUGAGGAUUCAACCUGGCCAUCUGCAAUGAUAACCAAAACAUGAUACUGGCCUCCACUCUUCUCCACAAUGUCCAUUGCAGCCUCAACCACCGGAGCAUAAGAAGUUGGUCCUUAACACAAUUACAUAUAUGUUUCUAUGAGGCUGUGAUUCUAAGAAUAAGGAUAAUUAAAAUUUUUUAUCAUCACCAGGUAAUGUCAAAAGAAAAGGCAGAACACAGAUGAUUAACCACUAGGCUACUUAUUGGAAUAGAUACUUUUUCAUGACAGAUCAGGAUUGUAUAUAUGUUGACAUCGUUUUUCAAACCAAAUAUGGUUUUCAUGAAAAGUUGAAAGAAAAAUGCCAACCUGCAAGUCGCAAGUUUGGAACAAUGUUUCUAUAGCAGGCCAAAACUUCUUCAAAACCAUGGCACGGGGUAUGAUCAUCAUGAAAACUAAACACUUCUUGAUCAUGUGUGGUAGCUGUAAGUAAACAAAUAAAAUAUAUAAAUAAAUAAUCCAGUGGUUAAUUUUGAGAGUUCGUGAAAGUAGUAACAUGGUUUGACUUAGACUUCUAAAGGAUCAUAUAGCUUACCAUCACCAAAACCAAAACAAGGAAUUAAGUUGUCUUCAUCAAAUGGAGCCAGAGUCUUUCCAAUGAUAGUGAUGGCUUUCUCAUAUGGAUUAGGUGUGUCGCCAAUGGCAUGAAGGCUCCGAUUAUUGAAUGAAACUUUGCCUUCAAUAACAACAUUGAUGCAUUGGCUUCAAACAGAUACGAAACACAAACAAUUUCACAAAAUUAUAAAUCAGAAAGCAUUUAUCACUCUUAUGCAUUAUUAAGAGACAUGGUGCCACUUCAUAUACUAGUUCGGUUUCACUCAGGAUCCUUGAGAUUAAAUGUUGUGUACCGAUUCUUAAUUCUAUUUACUGAACAAAAAUAUACCAGUCCAUUCAUUGCUUUUAGUGAAAUCGAUCCCAAGAAUGAGAUUGGAUGAUUCUAGACCAGAAUCUCUCAAGGCAGCUGUUACCUGAAAAGAGAGACAGCAUUUUCCAAGUUUCAGAAACUCAAACUUGCCACAUGUACCAAGAUGACAGUUUGCACAACGCAGGCAGAACAUUAUCACUGAACUUAGCAGCCCAGUCAGGACUCUUCAACAAUUCCCAGCAGCCAAGAUCUAUAGGCCAUUAUACAAAAAUUAUGCUAAGCUACAAAUUAUCAAGUCAAAUACUUAUUUUCAGUUGUUCUGUUCAAAACUAUUGUAUUUUUGUUCCUAGUUCAGAUUAUUUACAUAUUUGCAAAUGCAUGUACAUCCCAGGAGCAGGCCAAACAAAUGAACGUUGACUAAACCUUCCAAGUUUCGGCCAUUUUGAAUAAUCUUAUUUUCAGAAUGGUUAAUUAGGCAAAAUCAGUUGUGUUCUGCCUUUUCCACGAGGUGCGUGACGUGUCAAACAGGGCAAAAUAUGGACACAUUUUCUACAGAGUACAGACUAUACAAAGUGGUUGCAGGUCAUGUAUAACGUUGUGUAUGGAAUGGAGGAACCCAUGUGAUUCCCCAUCUUUACUUUAAUCACCAAACAAGGCAGCAGGGGGACCAUCUCAUCUCAUCUCAUCAAUGAGUGAGCAGAAAAAGGAGACAAAAUUUAUUGAUUCUUCACGACACUCAAAAGGUUCUUUGUUUUUUUUCAAGGAUAAACCGUGUUGACUGGGAGAGAAAAACGCGUGUACUGUUCAAAUUCAAGUUGGUGAAAGAAAACUACUAAUUCAAAUGGGGGGAUGCUCCAAUUAAUGACCCCAUUUCCCACCAAACGGAGAAACCAUUAUCAAUUUUCGUUUUAAAUAUAAUUUCUUCUCACUACUUGUUCCCAUCUUCUUCAGCUUCAACCUAUACACCCAAUAGUACUUGAAACAAGUGCUUGAUGAGCGAACACCCUUUUGCUGCAACACUAUCUACAAAGUGUUUUUGGAUAAUAGGCAACUAACUCGUUAGAUUUUUACAUGUACCCUCUCUCCAAUACGACUCCCAUAUCAUAUCCUUCAAGGUCUUCCUAAUUUACAAAUAGACUCCUGAUAUUUUAUCAGCAAUAUCAUGGACUCCCUUCCAGUUUGGGUGGUCCUUAUAUCACCAUCCUAUAUUCCUAUAUCUAAAAAAAGUGGAGGAAAAAAAAGGAACAAAUAAAAUUCUAAAAAUUAAAUGAGCGGUUCAAAUUGAGUUUUGAUUUUUAA
rnacentral:lncRNA from 1 species